UGUGAAUGUGAUCCCAGAGCCCUGGGGUCUGUGCCGGGGACAGAUCUUCAUUAAAGUCCCCUCUGUGCCCAGCUGGGAUGUAACCCUCUCCAGUGGGAACCAGCCUCCUAGGGCAGCCCCGACAUUAACACCUGAGCCAGAGGGUCCAGGUCUUCCAGUUUUCAGUCCUGACAUGAUCUCCCGGCUGGAACAAGGAGAAGAGCAGUUGGGUCCUGGAUCUCCCAAGGCUCUGAGGAAAGAAGGAUCCUGAGAAACAUUCAUACAGUCCCCUUUCUGAGGUUGCCUCUCCCCGGCACAGGGGACAAUUCAUGUCUGGAUACUCCCUCUAUCCUGGCAGGUGAUGGGAUGGUGAGUGAAAACGAGGAAAUGAAUCCUGAGCAGGAAAUCCCUGAGCAAGUGGAACCACACAGGCCAGCACUGACACCAUCCAAAGGAAACAUUUCCUGGAGGGGUGAGCAGGGAGCAGCCUACAAGGGUCAGUGCAGGCCGGAGAGGCAGCAGGAAACCCCCCAGUGAAGAGAUGGGGUAUCUCGACCCAGAGAAGUUUGAAGGACCACAGUGAAACCAUGCUCCAGCUUAGAACCCUCACUAAAGAGAAACUGUAUGAAUGUCCUGAGUGCGGGAGGAGCUUCACUCGCAACUCAGACCUUAUUGUGCAUCACAGGAUCCACACAGGAGAGAGUCCCUAUGACUGCCUGGACUGUGGGAAGGGGUUCAUUCAGGGUGCCGACCUGACAAAGCACCAGAGAACCCACACAGGAGAGAGACCCUAUUGUUGCCCUCAACUGCAGGAAACAGUUUGCUAUUUUCUCCUCCCUUAUUUCACACCGGAGACUGCACACGGGAGAGAGACCCUACAAAUGCCCCUAGUGUUGGAAAAGCUUCACUGCCAGCUCCAAUCUUAUUGUGCACCAGAGAACCCACACUGGGCAGAGGCCCUGGGCAUGCCCCGACUGUGAGAAAAGCUUCAGCUUGAGCUCCAACCUUAUCGCCCACCAGAGGAUCCACACAGGAGAGAGACCCUAUAAAUGCCCCGAAUGCGGGAAAGGGUUCACUCAGAGCUCCCACCUUGUUUCCCUCCAGAGAAUCCACACAGGAGAGAGACCCUAUGAAUGCCUGGACUGUGGGAAGAGCUUCAGUGAGGGCUCAGACCUCACUAAGCACCAGAGGAUUCACACGGGAGAGAGACCUUAUAAAUGUCCUGAGUGUCGAGAAAGCUUCAGCCAGAGCUCAAGCCUGAUUAAACACCUAGAGAGUCCACACCAGGAAAACCCCCUGAGUGCGGGAUAAGUUUCCCACUGAGCUCCACCCUUAUUUCUCAUCAGAGAAUCCACACAAGAGAGACUCUAUAAAUGUCCAUUCUGUGGGGAAGGCUGCCAGUGGAAGAUCUCUUUAAUGUCCCACUAGACACGCCACAGAGAAGGUGGCAGGAGUUCUCCCUGAAUGUAAUAUUUCUGUGCCCUGCUGACGCAAUGUAUAAACAUGCUUCAUUUCAGGAUGGUCUAGGCAGAAGGGGGUCAGAUGGGUGGAUGUUUUGGGUUUCAGUGUGGCCGGAGGAGGGAGCACUGGGUACUGGGGAGAUGGGUUAUUUCAAGGUCUGCAGGAAGCAGGCGUUGAAAUUAGUGAGGAGCAUUUCUGCAGGGGCUACACACACUUACCAGGUCAGAGAAGAGGUGAAGAUACCCCAUCGCACUUUGUGUCCAUGUUGUCUCUGCAGCUCCCAAGGCCUCUCAGCGUGGGUGUGAGGGCAGGGGAUGCUGUUAUUAUUAUUUGUGUUAUCACAGUGCCCUAGUCAUGGCCCAGGACCCCUCUGCACCAGGUGCUGUGUAAACACGGAAUGAAAAGCCAGUUCCUGCUGCAGAGAGUUUACAAUCUAAGUGGAGAGACGGGACAACAGAUGGACACGGACAGAUGGGAGGUGGGGGUCCAAGGAAGCAGACUGUAUUGGUAGCAUGAUGGGUAGCAUGCUCAGCAUACCAGCACCCUAACCACUGUCAGGCUUUUUGGAGGCCUCACAGCAAAGGAGAGCUUUAAGUUUUUCAAGGAAAGAGUGCGGGGUCCUGUGGGUCCUGUAGUAAGUGAAGGCCCUGAUAAAGGCCCAGUAUGAGGCCUGAGGCCUGAACUAAAAUAAUG